rnacentral:lncRNA from 1 species
GGUGAAGUUUUAAAAUUCUUGCUCCCAAAGAAUAUAUGUCUUGUAUUCUCUCCAAAACAAAAUGCAAUAUAGAAAUCAUACUAAUUUCCAUAUUAAGAACCCAAUCUUUUGGGUUGCUUUUGUGUUUAAAAAAAAAAAAAAAAAAAAAAAAAAAAGCUUAUUCCAUAAAAGUGUUUUCAAACUGUGGAGCUGUCCUAGAAUCCAUCAAUGUGACACAUCUGUAUUGAAGUCGGUGCUAUGUCACUUCCACCUGCUUCAUAUUCACUCUAAAGUUGACAAGUAUCGUGUACAGGCUGAAUUUAUACUAUACAUGUCAGAGGGAGUACACUUCAGUUUCUUCUACCAAAAAAAAAAAAAAAAUGCUGUAAGAAGCAAUGAUGAUGUGAUGAUGCUUAAUUUAAAAAGAAACUGCAAGAAAGAAAGAGAGAGACAGAGAGCAGGCAGGAAGGCAAGAAAAAGAAAAAGUAAUAAAGAAAGUGGAACAGGCAGACUAAACUCACCAUUUUAUGCAGACUUGGAAUUCAGAUACCAAGCAAAAUUUAAGAAAUGUAACUGCUAAAUGGACAGCCUGAAGCAAACAUAAACACAAGGACAGGUAACAGGAAAAGAGCCUGUUUCCUUCACCUUGUCUCACUCUGAAGGGUGGGAAGGAGUUACUCACGAAAAUGCAAGAGAACUCUCCCUUUCCCUUUCCCUCCCAGUCGGUUUGAAGACUUUUUCA